UUUGAAAUAUAUACAAAAAAUGUUAUAAUAGAAACGUUAGAAAUAACUAUGAUGAUAAACGUCAUGAGUAAUAGGUACUGUGGACUCGGGGGCGGAGCCCGACACUUCCACCAGACUUAUGGGAGUGAAUAGAUUCGACAUGGGCUGAAAGGCAUGGCUUUCAUUCGGAGUGGUUUCCGUUAUAAAACCGAUAAAUAUAAAUGCGAACGGUAAUUUAGUCGCAGAGAACGAUAACGCAGAGAUGGCAAGCGUUAACGACAAUGUCAGAAGUGACGUUGCUUUAGCAGCCUAAUCUGAGGUAAGUGAUCGCGGUUUGGGGGCACCGGGCAACAGAAGCUC
rnacentral:tmRNA from 1 species